UGGGGAAUAUUGCACAAUGGGCGCAAGCCUGAUGCAGCCAUGCCGCGUGUAUGAAGAAGGCCUUCGGGUUGUAAAGUACUUUCAGUCGGGAGGAAGGUGUCAAGGUUAAUAACCUUGGCAAUUGACGUUACCGACAGAAGAAGCACCGGCUAACUCCGUGCCAGCAGCCGCGGUAAUACGGAGGGUGCAAGCGUUAAUCGGAAUUACUGGGCGUAAAGCGCACGCAGGCGGUUGAUUGAGUCAGAUGUGAAAUCCCCGGGCUUAACCCGGGAAUUGCAUCUGAUACUGGUCAGCUAGAGUCUGGUAGAGGGGGGUAGAAUUCCAUGUGUAGCGGUGAAAUGCGUAGAGAUGUGGAGGAAUACCGGUGGCGAAGGCGGCCCCCUGGACAAAGACUGACGAUCAGGUGCGAAAGCGUGGGGAGCAAACAGG
rnacentral:rRNA from 1 species